rnacentral:rRNA from 1 species
AGUCGAGCGGGCGAGGUUGCUUCGGUAACUGAGCUAGCGGCGGACGGGUGAGUAAUGCUUAGGAAUCUGCCUAUUAGUGGGGGACAACAUUCCGAAAGGAAUGCUAAUACCGCAUACGCCCUACGGGGGAAAGCAGGGGAUCUUCGGACCUUGCGCUAAUAGAUGAGCCUAAGUCAGAUUAGCUAGUUGGUGGGGUAAAGGCCUACCAAGGCGACGAUCUGUAGCGGGUCUGAGAGGAUGAUCCGCCACACUGGGACUGAGACACGGCCCAGACUCCUACGGGAGGCAGCAGUGGGGAAUAUUGGACAAUGGGCGCAAGCCUGAUCCAGCCAUGCCGCGUGUGUGAAGAAGGCCUUUUGGUUGUAAAGCACUUUAAGCGAGGAGGAGGCUACUUGGAUUAAUACUCUAGGAUAGUGGACGUUACUCGCAGAAUAAGCACCGGCUAACUCUGUGCCAGCAGCCGCGGUAAUACAGAGGGUGCGAGCGUUAAUCGGAUUUACUGGGCGUAAAGCGUGCGUAGGCGGCUUCUUAAGUCGGAUGUGAAAUCCCUGAGCUUAACUUAGGAAUUGCAUUCGAUACUGGGAGGCUAGAGUAUGGGAGAGGAUGGUAGAAUUCCAGGUGUAGCGGUGAAAUGCGUAGAGAUCUGGAGGAAUACCGAUGGCGAAGGCAGCCAUCUGGCCUAAUACUGACGCUGAGGUACGAAAGCAUGGGGAGCAAACAGGAUUAGAUACCCUGGUAGUCCAUGCCGUAAACGAUGUCUACUAGCCGUUGGGGCCUUUG